rnacentral:rRNA from 1 species
GAUGAACGCUGGCGGCGUGCCUAAUACAUGCAAGUCGAGCGAACGGACGAGAAGCUUGCUUUUCUGAUGUUAGCGGCGGACGGGUGAGUAACACGUGGAUAACCUACCUAUAAGACUGGUAUAACUUCGGGAAACCGGAGCUAAUACCGUAUAAUAUUUUGAACCGCAUUGUUCAAAAGUGAAAGACGGUCUUGCUGUCACUUAUAGAUGGUUCCGCGCUGCAUUAGCUAGUUGUUAAGGUAACGGCUUACCAAGGCAACGAUGCAUAGCCGACCUGAGAGGGUGAUAGGCCACACUGGAACUGAGACACGGUCCAGACUCCUACGGGAGGCAGCAGUAGGGAAUCUUCCGCAAUGGGCGAAAGCCUGACGGAGCAACGCCGCGUGAGUGAUGAAGGUCUUCGGAUCGUAAAACUCUGUUAUUAGGGAAGAACAUAUGUGUAAGUAACUGUGCACAUCUUGACGGUACCUAAUCAGAAAGCCACGGCUAACUACGUG